UACGUAGGUCCCGAGCGCUGUCCGGAUUUAUUGGGCGUAAAGCGAGCGCAGGUGGUUUAUUAAGUCUGGUGUAAAAGGCAGUGGCUCAACCAUUGUAUGCAUUGGAAACUGGUAGACUUGAAUACAGGAGAGGAGAGUGGAAUUCCAUGUGUAGCGGUGAAAUGCGUAGAUAUAUGGAGGAACACCGGUGGCGAAAGCGGCUCUCUGGCCUGUAACUGACACUGAGGCUCGAAAGCGUGGGGAGCAAACAGG
rnacentral:rRNA from 1 species